rnacentral:rRNA from 1 species
GACGUAGGGCGCGAGCGUUGUCCGGAAUUAUUGGGCGUAAAGAGCUCGUAGGCGGCCUGUUGCGUCCGCUGUGAAAGCCCGGGGCUUAACCCCGGGUCGGCAGUGGAUACGGGCAGGCUAGAGGUAGGUAGGGGAGAAUGGGAUUCCCGGUGUAGCGGUGAAAUGCGCAGAUAUCGGGAGGAACACCGGUGGCGAAGGCGGUUCUCUGGGCCUUACCUGACGCUGAGGAGCGAAAGCGUGGGGAGCGAACAGG